UCUGAGGCAACAAAAAGCACACUGUGACAUCACAGGAAGUUAUAUAAACAGCUUCACAUCCCUUUUAGAGCAAGAGAAGGUAAAGCCACACCCACAACACUGCUCUCCCCCAGGACUACCUUAGCCAAGUAUUGUGAAUGAGAGCUUCUGAAUCUGAGCUUUGUUUCCAGGCUCCAAGGAGAUCACCAAGAACUCCGUACCUGGAAGAGCCCUUCUUCUAACAGCAUCCAAGGGAUUCAACUGUGCAGCUGAGUCAGUGAGCGGUGUGUGCUAACCCAGGGACCGGAGGUUUGCUGGGGGACUCACGUGAGUUCAUGGGCCUCGGAAAUGUUUCUACAGAAGAGCACACAGUCCGUGUAGCGCAGAAUUGGGAAAACAUGCUGUGUGCAUGACACCUGCUGUGACGCAGCCAUCCGGGCCUCUGUGUGGAAAGGACAGCAGGCGUGACAGAAUGGGCAAUGGACAGCGACGACUGGAAUUGUACUUCCCUCUUCUUCCACAUGGUAAUUUUGUCUCUCUACUUUUUUACCUUUGACCCCCUUCAAACAAACUGGAUGCAUUUUGUCACUUGAUGGACAUUUGUGGGUUUUCUACUUUUGGGUUACUAUGAAGAAUGCUGCUAUGAACAUUCGUGAACAAGAUUUUGUGCGGAUAAAUGUUUCCAUUUCUCUUGGCUACAUACCUCGGAGUGGAAUAGCUGGGACAUAUGGCAAUUCUGUGUUUAACUUUCUGAGGAAUGGCCAAACUGUUCUCCACAGCAGCUGCACCUUUUUAAAUUCCCCCCAGCAAUGUAUGAGGGUUCCAAUUUCUCCACAUUCUCAUCAACACUUGUUAUUUUCUGGGGAUUGCUUCAAAGCAAGCAUCCUAAUGAAUGAAAAAUGAUAUCUCGUGGUAUUGAUUGGCAUUUCCCUAAUGACUAGUUAUGUGUGUCUCUUUCCAUGCGCUUAUUGCCCAUUUGUGUAUCUUCUUUGGAAAAAUGCCUUCACAACCUUUUGCACAUUUUUAAAUUGGGCUGUUGUCUUGUUAUGGAGUUUUAAGAGCUCUUUAAAUAUUCUGGAUAAUAGACCCUCAUCAGAUAUAUGGUUUACAAAUACUUUUCUCCAUUCUGGGAGGUGCCAUUUCACUCUUCAUCGUGUCUUUUGAGGCACAAAAGUUUUUAAUUUUCAUGAAGUCCAAUUUAUCCAGUUUUCCUUUUUUUUUUGCUUGUGCUUUGGGUGUCCUAUUUAAGUCUAAUCGAAUCUGAAGUCACAAAGAUUUACACCUACAUUUUCUUCUAAGAGUUUUAUAGUUUUAGCUCUUACAUUUACAACUUUGAUCCCUUUAGAAUUAACUUUCAAAGAUUCUGUGAGGUAGAGGUUCAAAUUUACUGUUUUGCAUGUGGAUAUCCAGUUGUCCCCCACCAUUUGACGAAAAGACAAUUCGUUCCCCACUGAAUGGUGUUACCACUCUUCUCAAAAAGUAACGGAUCAUAUAAAGAAAAUGUCGUCUCUAGAUAGAUAUAAGGGAAUACCAUUCAGUCAUAAAAAAGAAUGAAAUCUUGCCAUUUGCAACAACAUGGAUGGACCUUGAGGGCAUUACGCUAAGCAAAAUAAGUCAGACACAGAAGACAAAUACUGCAUGAUCUCGCUUAUAUGAGGAAUAAAGGAAAAAAAACACCUCAUAGAUUCAGAGAACAGACUGCUGGUUGCCAGAGGUGAAGGGUGAAAUGGGUGAAGGGAGCCAAAACGUACAAACGUCCAGUUAUAAAAUAAGUCAGUCACGAGGAUGUAAUGUACAGCUUGGCGAUUACAGCUACAAUACUUGUAUCGCGUAUUAGAAAGUCGCCGAGAGAGGAAAUCUUCAAAGUUCUCAUCGUGGGAAAAAACAAUUCUGUAACUACAUAUGGUGACAACAUUAACCAGACUCAUCGUGGUGAGCAUUUCAGAACUAUAUGCAAAUACAAAAUCAUUAUGUUGCACACCUGAAACUAAUAGGAUGUUGGAGGUCAAUUGUACCUCAGUAUAAAUAAUGGAUCACAGUGUGUGUGUUUACUACUGGACUCACAAUUCUAUUCUAUCGAUCUGUGUGUGUCCUCAUGCCCAUACCAUAGUCUGAUCACCGUAACCUUCUAGGACAUUUUGGAAGCAGAAAGUGAGUCCUUCAACGUUGUCCUUUUUCAAAAUGUUUUUGGCUAUUGGUGGUCCCUCGCAAUUGUAUAUGAAUUUGAGCACGAGUCUGUCCAUUUCUGCAAAUAAGGCAGUUGGGAUUUGGACAAGAAUUGCAUUGAAUGUGUAGAUCAAUUUGGGGAGUACUGCCUACACAUCAGCUUCUGCAGACACCAUAAUGGUGAUAUAAUCAAAAAGAUUUUAAAAAAGUGACUCGACUUGUUGAAGGAUCAUGAAAGAAAGGAACAGGAUGCUGUGAUAGAAACCAGAAGAAAGAAAGAAACACCAAGUUAGAAAGAAUGGUCAGGGAAGCCUUCACUGAAGAGAUAACCCCUGACCUGAGGCCCAGGAGGAAAAGGGGAGCAAAGAAGAGCAUUCCAGGCUAAGGGGAUGGCACGGUCAAAGGCCCUAUGGCAGUCAGGAGGAGGGCUCUCUCCAGGAACUGAGGGCAGGGCAGCAGGGCUGACUCAGAGCCUGGCAAGCAAGACCGGGGAGGGGGGAGAAGGUACAGCAGGUGACGGCAAGUUUCUGGAAUGGUACCAGGAAACUGAUAAGCACGGUUACCUCCAGCCAGUGGGACUUGUACUUUUCACCUUAUUCCUGUCUCUGCUUCAGAAUCAACUGUUUUAGUAGUUUUACAAAAACCUGAUGUUAAAAAAUUACCCACCCCAAGACUGUAAAAAUAAAGAGAAGCUUCAGUUUUGUAGCUAUCAAAGAAAAGCCCAUUUAAAGACCUGGUACAGGGGCAGGCUCCGUAGCCGAGUGGUUAAGUUUGUGUGCUCCGCUGUGGCGGCCCAGGGUUCGGAUCCUGGGCGCGGACACGGCACCACUCCUCAGGCCACGGUGAGGCGGCGUCCCACAUCCCACAACUAGAAGGACCUGCAACUAAGAUAUACAACUGUGUACGGCAGGGUUUGGGGAGAUAAAGCAGAAAAAAAAAAAAAAGAAAGAAGAAAAAAAAAAACCUGGUACAGUAAUGAAAUGAGCACACUUAGAUGGACAAUACUCACUGCUAGUGAGGAUAGGAAGAAAGCGGCUCUUCUCUCCAUUGCCGCUGGCAGUAUAAACUGCUAAAGUGUCUAGAAAACAAUUUAACAAUACUUUCUGACAACAAUAAAAAUGUCCUAAUCUUCUGACCCACUCACGGGGUUUAUCCUAGAGCAAUAAUCCAAAUGAAAGUAAAAGCUAUAUAUGUACACAUGAAAAAGGCCCCGGUAUCUCCAAUGUCUGCUGCACUCAAUCCCCAAAAUAGUAUACCUGCUGACAACAGGGUAAUGAUUAAGUAAUGACUUGAUAAAAAGGGUUAAUGGAUUAAUUGCCUUAUGGUAAAUUAAUCUGAUGCUAUAUCAUACAAAUAUUAAAAACUGUAACUGUGAAAACUGAUUGUACCAACAUGGAAAAAUGUUUUAUGCAAAUGAUAAAACAGGCAUAUAAAGCCACACCUAUGCUACGACGACAGUAUAAAAGAUGUACACAGAGGAACAAGGACUGGAAGGAAACACGAGACAGUGAGCAAAGAUGAUCUGAUGCGGUGGUAGGAUUAUCGAGGAUUAUACCAUGUUUAAAUCUUAACUUAAAGGCCCUCCUUCCAGACAAAUAUUGGACACAAAAAGAUUAAAUAUACAAGGAUGAGAAAGCUUCUCCCUCAUUCCUCUCUCCCUUACCCACAUUCUGCUGAAAUCAGCUCAAGACGAGCUCCCUUUUAGUGGCCCUUGUUUCUUCUUUAAAAGGCUCAGCACUCUCUCUGCAGAGAGAAAGGCCCUUUGUUGAGGGGCGGCUCUAAUCCUCCAUCCAACCCUUUGUCAGCUCCUGUCCAUGGGAGCUGGGACUGAGGGGACUGGGACUGGACAAAGAGAAUGGUGUCCCCAGGAAGUGAUAAGGGUUGCAGCCCCUGAGAGCCCUACAGCUCACAGCUCCAUAUGGCCCCUCACAAGGGGAUGUGAGGGGCACUAUCUGUUUGUCCAUCUGUGCCCCACCCAGAAGAACAGACUUCUUCUUUAUUCCUUAGGAACAGACUAUGGUCCUGACCACAUGCAACCUAUCAGACAAACAGAGUGGAGGUUGAUGAGAAGAAGUCUCUGGAAGAUCAGUGUCCUAGUGGAUGGACCCAAAGCACGACAGAGCCAGAGAAAGAGGACUUCCUUCCUGGUUGCGGGUGCACGAAUGGCUUCUCCAGCACCAGACUCCUGCCCUAGUGCUCGCCCACAGCACAGAGCCGCCAACAGCUUCCUCCAGCAGCCCCCUCAGGCAAGGCCCUAGCUGAACGCCUCCCAUAAGGUCCCUCCCCUCGAACGCCUUUCUCGGCCCCAAAAGGGUGGAUUUCCAUAAAGUUCCAGAGUGCACCUUUCCUGUGAAUUUGUGGAUUUUUAUAUUAAACUUUCU
rnacentral:lncRNA from 1 species